rnacentral:rRNA from 1 species
AACGAACGCUGGCGGCAGGCCUAACACAUGCAAGUCGAACGCUCUGGCAACAGGGAGUGGCAGACGGGUGAGUAACGCGUGGGAACGUGCCCUUCGGUUCGGAAUAACUCAGGGAAACUUGAGCUAAUACCGGAUACGUGCGCGAGCAGAAAGAUUUAUCGCCGAAGGAUCGGCCCGCGUCCGAUUAGCUAGUUGGUGAGGUAAUGGCUCACCAAGGCGACGAUCGGUAGCUGGUCUGAGAGGAUGACCAGCCACACUGGGACUGAGACACGGCCCAGACUCCUACGGGAGGCAGCAGUGGGGAAUAUUGGACAAUGGGCGCAAGCCUGAUCCAGCCAUGCCGCGUGAGUGAUGAAGGCCCUAGGGUUGUAAAGCUCUUUCGCCAGGGACGAUAAUGACGGUACCUGGAUAAGAAGCCCCGGCUAACUUCGUGCCAGCCGCCGCAGUAAGAC